UUUGUUUUUUAAUUAAAAACUAGAAUGAAAGACUUCACAUUUAAAUUUCUUWAUUAAUUUUAAAAUAAUUAACCUAUAUUAAGUAUAAAAAUAUACUUAUUAAAAAAAAAGACGACAAGACCCUAUUAAAUUUUACUUAUUGUUAAGCUGGGGAAGCUUAUUAAAAAUAAUUUUAAAUUAAAUAAAAAAAAUAUCUAAUAAAAUUAAAAUUAUAAACAAAUUACUAUAGGGAUAACAGCGUUAUAUUAUUUUAAAGUUCAUAUUUAUAAUAAAAAUUGCGACCUCGAUGUUGAAUUAUAUUUCUUUUAUUAACGCAACAGUUAUAAUAAUAGGUCUGUUCGACCUUUAAAAUAUUACAUGAUUUGAGUUCAAACCGGUGUAAGCCAGGUUGGUUUCUAUCUUUUUAUUAGAUUUUACAGUACGAAAGGACAGAAAAACUUUUAAUUUAAAAAUUUUUAUUAGCAAAUAUAUGCAUUAGACUUAGAAUCUAAUUUAUCUAAUUAUAUCAAUUGUAAAUUCAAGAUUACCUAUUUUAAGAAUCCUUAUUGCAGUUGCAUUUUAUACAAUUUUAGAACGAAAAAUUCUUAGAUAUAUCCAAAUUCGAAAAGGACCUAAUAAAGUAGGACUAAUAGGAAUUCUCCAACCAUUUAGAGAUGCAUUAAAACUUUUUAAUAAAUCUUUAAUUUCUUCUGAAAGAAGAAAUUUUAUAAUUUCUUAUUUGACACCAGCAAUAUCAUUAAUUUUAUCUAUAAUAAUUGUAGUAUUAUUACCCCUAUACUAUUAUUCCCCAUUUGAUAAUAAAAAUAAUAUUCUAUUAUUCUUUAUUAUUUCUAGUUUAUCUGUUUAUUCAAUUUU
rnacentral:rRNA from 1 species